rnacentral:rRNA from 1 species
AGUGAACGCUGGCGGUAGGCCUAACACAUGCAAGUCGAACGGCAGCACAGGAGAGCUUGCUCUCUAGGUGGCGAGUGGCGGACGUGUGAGGAAUACAUCUGAAUCUGCCCAGUCGUGGGGGAUAACUUAGGGAAACUUACGCUAAUACCGCAUACGACCUUCGGGUGAAAGAGGGGGAUCGCAAGACCUCUCGCGAUUGGAUGAGCCGAUGUCGGAUUAGCUAGUUAGCGGGGUAAUGGCCCACCAAGGCGACGAUCCGUAGCUGGUCUGAGAGGAUGAUCAGCCACACUGGAACUGAGACACGGUCCAGACUCCUACGGGAGGCAGCAGUGGGGAAUAUUGGACAAUGGGCGAAAGCCUGAUCCAGCCAUACCGCGUGGGUGAAGAAGGCCUUCGGGUUGUAAAGCCCUUUUGUUGGGAAAGAAAUCUUUCAGGCUAAUACCCUGGGAGGAUGACGGUACCCAAAGAAUAAGCACCGGCUAACUUCGUG